rnacentral:rRNA from 1 species
GAUGAACGCUAGCUACAGGCUUAACACAUGCAAGUCGAGGGGCAUCAGGAAGAAAGCUUGCUUUCUUUGCUGGCGACCGGCGCACGGGUGAGUAACACGUAUCCAACCUGCCCUUUACUCGGGGAUAGCCUUUCGAAAGAAAGAUUAAUACCCGAUAGCAUAAUGAUUCCGCAUGGUUUCAUUAUUAAAGGAUUCCGGUAAAGGAUGGGGAUGCGUUCCAUUAGGUUGUUGGUGAGGUAACGGCCCACCAAGCCUUCGAUGGAUAGGGGUUCUGAGAGGAAGGUCCCCCACAUUGGAACUGAGACACGGUCCAAACUCCUACGGGAGGCAGCAGUGAGGAAUAUUGGUCAAUGGGCGCUAGCCUGAACCAGCCAAGUAGCGUGAAGGAUGAAGGCUCUAUGGGUCGUAAACUUCUUUUAUAUAAGAAUAAAGUGCAGUAUGUAUACUGUUUUGUAUGUAUUAUAUGAAUAAGGAUCGGCUAACUCCGUGCCAGCAGCCGCGGUAAUACGGAGGAUCCGAGCGUUAUCCGGAUUUAUUGGGUUUAAAGGGAGCGUAGGUGGACUGGUAAGUCAGUUGUGAAAGUUUGCGGCUCAACCGUAAAAUUGCAGUUGAUACUGUCAGUCUUGAGUACAGUAGAGGUGGGCGGAAUUCGUGGUGUAGCGGUGAAAUGCUUAGAUAUCACGAAGAACUCCGAUUGCGAAGGCAGCUCACUGGACUGCAACUGACACUGAUGCUCGAAAGUGUGGGUAUCAAACAGGAUUAGAUACCCUGGUAGUCCACACAGUAAACGAUGAAUACUCGCUGUUUGCGAUAUACAGUAAGCGGCCAAGCGAAAGCAUUAAGUAUUCCACCUGGGGAGUACGCCGGCAACGGUGAGACUCAAAGGAAUUGACGGGGGCCCGCACAAGCGGAGGAACAUGUGGUUUAAUUCGAUGAUACGCGAGGAACCUUACCCGGGCUUAAAUUGCAGUGGAAUGAUGUGGAAACAUGUCAGUGAGCAAUCACCGCUGUGAAGGUGCUGCAUGGUUGUCGUCAGCUCGUGCCGUGAGGUGUCGGCUUAAGUGCCAUAACGAGCGCAACCCUUAUCUUUAGUUACUAACAGGUUAUGCUGAGGACUCUAGAGAGACUGCCGUCGUAAGAUGUGAGGAAGGUGGGGAUGACGUCAAAUCAGCACGGCCCUUACGUCCGGGGCUACACACGUGUUACAAUGGGGGGUACAGAAGGCAGCUAGCGGGUGACCGUAUGCUAAUCCCAAAAUCCUCUCUCAGUUCGGAUCGAAGUCUGCAACCCGACUUCGUGAAGCUGGAUUCGCUAGUAAUCGCGCAUCAGCCACGGCGCGGUGAAUACGUUCCCGGGCCUUGUACACACCGCCCGUCAAGCCAUGGGAGCCGGGGGUACCUGAAGUACGUAACCGCAAGGAUCGUCCUAGGGUAAAACUGGUGACUGGGGCUAAGUCAUAACA